rnacentral:rRNA from 1 species
UACAUGGGGUGCAAACGUUGCUCGGAAUUAUUGGGCGUAAAGCGCACGUAGGUGGUCUGUUAUGUCAGAUGUGAAAGCCCUCGGCUUAACUGAGGAAGUGCACCUGAAACUGGCAGGCUUGAGUACGAAAGAGGGUCGCGGAAUUCCCGGUGUAGAGGUGAAAUUCGUAGAUAUCGGGAGGAACACCAGUGGCGAAGGCGGCUACCUGGACCAGCACUGACACUGAGGCACGAAAGCGUGGGGAGCAAACAGG